rnacentral:rRNA from 1 species
AGUGAACGCUGGCGGUAGGCCUAACACAUGCAAGUCGAACGGCAGCACAGUAAGAGCUUGCUCUUACGGGUUGCGAGUGGCGGACGGGUGAGGAAUACAUCGGAAUCUACUUUUUCGUGGGGGAUAACGUAGGGAAACUUACGCUAAUACCGCAUACGACCUACGGGUGAAAGCAGGGGAUCUUCGGACCUUGCGCGAUUGAAUGAGCCGAUGUCGGAUUAGCUAGUUGGCGGGGUAAAGGCCCACCACGGCGACGAUCCGUAUCUGGUCUGAGAGGAUGAUCAGCCACACUGGAACUGAGACACGGUCCAGACUCCUACGGGAGGCAGCAGUGGGGAAUAUUGGACAAUGGGCGCAAGCCUGAUCCAGCCAUACCGCGUGGGUGAAGAAGGCCUUCGGGUUGUAAAGCCCUUUUGUUGGGAAAGAAAAGCAGCAGGUUAAUACCCCGCUGUUCUGACGGUACCCAAAGAAUAAGCACCGGCUAACUUCGUG